rnacentral:rRNA from 1 species
GUAUGGCCGGGUAGGCGGGUGGGGUCUUUAGGAGGAUCAAAGCGUUAGUCGGAAGUAGUGGUCGGAAAGAGUUGAGUAGGUGGCAGCGUAAGUCAGUAGUGAAAGCCUGGGGAUCAACCCCGUACACAGUAUCGAAACGGAGAAGCUAGAGGGCUAGAGAGGGACCUGGAAGUCCUAGUGUAGGAGUGAAAGCCGUAGAUAUUAGGAGGAACACCGAUGGCGUAGGCAGGGUACUGGCUUGUUCCUGACACUAAGGCACGAAAGCGUGGGGAGCAAACGGGAUUAGAUACCCUAGUAGUC